rnacentral:misc_RNA from 1 species
AAGUCGUAACAAGGUUUCCGUAGGUGAACCUGCAGGAAGGAUCAUUAAAGAGUAAGGGGUGCUUCAGCGCCCGACCUCCAAACCCUUUGCUGUUAAAACUACCCUUGUUGGCUUUUGGCGGGGAGCCGCUCGGUCUCGAGCCGCUGGGGAUUCGUCCCAGGCGAGCGCCCGCCAGAGUUAAACCAAACUCUUGUUAUUUAACCGGUCGUCUGAGUUAAAAUUUUGAAUAAAUCAAAA